rnacentral:tRNA from 1 species
CGGGGCGUGGCUCAGUUUGGCUAGAGCGCCUGCUUUGGGAGCAGGAAGUCACAGGUUCAAGUCCUGUCGCCCCGA